CAGUAGCCGCGGUAAUACGUAGGUGGCAAGCGUUGUCCGGAAUUAUUGGGCGUAAAGGGCUCGCAGGCGGUUUCUUAAGUCUGAUGUGAAAGCCCCCGGCUCAACCGGGGAGGGUCAUUGGAAACUGGGAAACUUGAGUGCAGAAGAGGAGAGUGGAAUUCCACGUGUAGCGGUGAAGUGCGUAGAGAUGUGGAGGAACACCAGUGGCGAAGGCGACUCUCUGGUCUGUAACUGACGCUGAGGAGCGAAAGCGUGGGGAGCGAACAGGAUUAGAUACCCGCGUAGUCCCUGUCUCUUAUAC
rnacentral:rRNA from 1 species